AUUGAACGCUGGCGGCAUGCUUUACACAUGCAAGUCGAACGGUAACAGGGAGCUUGCUCCGCUGACGAGUGGCGAACGGGUGAGUAAUGCGUCGGAACGUGCCGAGUAGUGGGGGAUAACGCAUCGAAAGGUGUGCUAAUACCGCAUACGUACUGAGAUAGAAAGUGGGGGACCUUCGGGCCUACCGCCAUUCGAGCGGCCGACGUCUGAUUAGCUAGUUGGUGAGGUAAAGGCUGACCGAGGCGACGAUCAGUAGCGGGUCUGAGAGGAUGAUCCGCCACACUGGGACUGAGACACGGCCCAGACUCCUACGGGAGGCAGCAGUGGGGAAUUUUGGACAAUGGGCGCAAGCCUGAUCCAGCCAUGCCGCGUGUCUGAAGAAGGCCUUCGGGUUGUAAAGGACUUUUGUCCGGGAGCAAAUGCCUGGUGUUAAUAGCAUCGGGAGCUGAGAGUACCAGAAGAAUAAGCACCGGCUAACUACGUGCCAGCAGCCGCCGUAAAAC
rnacentral:rRNA from 1 species